rnacentral:rRNA from 1 species
UCAGGAAAGUNUGGAGUAAAAGGCUAUGGCUCAACCAUAGUGAGCUCUGGAAACUGUNUGACUUGAGUGCAGAAGGGGAGAGUGGAAUUCCAUGUGUAGCGGUGAAAUGCGUAGAUAUAUGGAGGANCACCAGUGGCGAAAGCGGCUCUCUGGUCUGUCACUGACGCUGAGGCUCGAAAGCGUGGGUAGCGAACAGGAUUAGAUACCCUGGUAGUNCACGCCGUAAACGAUGAGUGCUAGGUGUUAGGCCCUUUCCGGGGCUUAGUGCCGGAGCUAACGCAAUAAGCACUCCGCCUGGGGAGUACGACCGCAAGGUUGAAACUCAAAGGAAUUGACGGGGGCCCGCACAAGCGGUGGAGCAUGUGGUUUAAUUCGAAGCAACGCGAAGAACCUUACCAGGUCUUGACAUCCCGAUGCUAUUCUUAGAGAUAGGAAGUUACUUCGGUACAUCGGAGACAGGUGGUGCAUGGUUGUCGUCAGCUCGUGUCGUGAGAUGUUGGGUUAAGUCCCGCAACGAGCGCAACCCUUAUUGUUAGUUGCCAUCAUUAAGUUGGGCACUCUAGCGAGACUGCCGGUAAUAAACCGGAGGAAGGUGGGGAUGACGUCAAAUCAUCAUGCCCCUUAUGACCUGGGCUACACACGUGCUACAAUGGUCGGUACAACGAGUUGCGAGCCGGUGACGGCAAGCUAAUCUCUGAAAGCCGAUCUCAGUUCGGAUUGGAGGCUGCAACUCGCCUCCAUGAAGUCGGAAUCGCUAGUAAUCGCGGAUCAGCACGCCGCGGUGAAUACGUUCCCGGGCCUUGUACACACCGCCCGUCACACCACGAGAGUUUGUAACACCCGAAGUCGGUGAGGUAACCUUUUAGGGGCCAGCCGCCUAAGGUGGGAUGGAUGA